GUGAAUCAUCAAAUUUUUGAACGCAAAUUGCACUCUCCGCGAAGAGGAUGCCUGUUUGAGGGUCAGCCUAUAAAAAAUCGACAUCGUUACUGUUUCGCGGUGGCGUUCGUCGUAAAGGGGGUCAUCUUAAAUCCUUUUGGUUUAAGCGACUUAAAAUUUUCUUUUGGUUCCAUGGACUUUUCUAAUAGCUGUUUCUGUACACGUUUAGGGUAUCGAUUUUUACUAUAGUUGACGAUCAUAUCGGAUCGCGUC
rnacentral:misc_RNA from 1 species